rnacentral:lncRNA from 1 species
UUUUUUUUUUUUUUUGCCUCUCCUAUCAUUUUAUCACCUUCAACUUGAAUGAUAUCACUCCUCUGCAUUGCUUCUUUUUCAUGCUGUGCGUCAUCCCAUCUUAUACCUUGUUUUUUUUUUGAUAAGAAAAGGAUAUGCAUUAAAAAGGCAAAACGCCACAAAGUAUACAGGGAGUAUACAAGGCAGCUAAGGCCUCAAAAAACAAAGACAAAAAGAAUCACCUCCCUUUAGGUGGAUGCUAUCCACUCUAGGAAGCCUAUAAGGGAGAAUGCCUCCUCACCUACAUACAAUUUGGCCCAACUCCACAAAUUACAGACAAAAAAAUUCUUUAACUUCUGAACGUUCAACACACCCCCCCUAAAAGCUAAUCUAUUCCUCUCCUUCCACACCAUCCAAAAAAUACACAACGGAAUGGCGUCCCAGAUCUUUUUCCUUUUCUUUCCCACAAACGAGCCCCUCCAACUAGCUAAAACUUCCUUUACAGUUUUUGGAAAAACCCAUUUCACAUCAACUAAACCAAAAACAAUAUCCCAUAAAGCUCUAACCACUAUACAAUGUAUAAGGAUAUGAUUUACACUUUCUUCUUCACAUCCAGACAAGAAGCAACAAUUUGGAAGUUGCAGUCCUCUUCUUUGAAGUCUAUCCAAAGUAAGCACCUUCCCCCACGUCGCCUCCCACGCGAAAAAAGCAACUUUAGUUGGCACCCUUGCCACCCAGAUGCUUCUUGAGGGAAAGCCUGUGUCAUCAGACUUCGCCAACAAACUAUAAGCUUCCUUAACCCUGAACUGACCACUUCUUCCUUGCCUCCACAAGACUGAGUCUUCCUCCAAUGAGGUUUGUGACCCCUCAAUAUAUGGAGAAAAUCCCCAACCAAAUCCAACUCCCAAUCAUUGAAAUCCCUCAAAAAAUUUAGGUUCCAACUUCCUUGACCCGAACUUUGAUCCCACAUUUCCUCAACCGUUGAGUUCCUUUGAACAGUCAUACCAAAGAGAUGAGGAAAACAGUGGGACAACGCUGACUCUGAACACCACACAUCUGUCCAAAAUCUGAUCGUGUUGCCCUUUCCUACUCGGAAUAUCAUGUUAUCCCAACACCACUCUGAUUCUUUCCAAAUCUCCUUCCAAACCCCUACUCCAACCGCCCCAUCUUAUACCUUGUUAUGAUUGCAUUCAUUUCUUGUUUUAUCUUUCCUCAUAUUGCCACCCAAUAAUCAUUAUAUUUUCAUUUCAGCUAUUCAUAAUGGCUUGAAAUUUGAUACCACAAGCAUAGCUGGGUAUGUAAUCAUCAUUAAAAUUUUCCUUUAACUUGAUAAGAUUCUAUAAUCACAUGACAGUCCAGAUGCCUUGCCCGCUUCAUUCAUCUACUCUCAAUUCUACAAGAAAAACCCUCCUCAAUCUCCCUUUACUUGGGGAUUAUGGAUCCAAAAUAACAGAAAUAUAAUCAUUAAUAUUCAUUAUACUCCGCUU